rnacentral:lncRNA from 1 species
ACAAUCUACAGGGUUUCAAGUUAACACCGGAGGGCGAUGCUGCGGAUGCCGAUCGACUAUAUCAAGACCUGUUCCUCAGUGUGAAAGGCAAUUUAUUUGCUCCAUACCAGUACGUCUUACGCACCACGACUCUGCUGGAUUUAUCGACGAAUCAGCUGACUGGCAAGCUUCCUGUAAGCAUGGGCGACCUCGUUGGUCUUCGUUACCUUAACCUGUCCCACAACAAUUUUAGUGGUGAGAUUCCAAGUUCCUAUGGGAAAAUCACUCAACUGGAGCAGCUCGACCUGUCCUUCAACCACCUGCAAGGCUCCAUUCCAACCUUACUCGCAAAUCUCGACUCGCUUGCCUCCUUC